UACGUAGGUGGCAAGCGUUAUCCGGAAUUAUUGGGCGUAAAGAGCGUGCAGGUGGUUGAUUAAGUCUGAUGUGAAAGCCCACGGCUUAACCGUGGAGGGUCAUUGGAAACUGGUCGACUUGAGUGCAGAAGAGGGAAGUGGAAUUCCAUGUGUAGCGGUGAAAUGCGUAGAUAUUAGGAGGAACACCAGUAGCGAAGGCGGCUCUCUGGACUGUAACUGACGCUGAGGCACGAAAGCGUGGGGAGCAAACAGGAUUAGAUA
rnacentral:rRNA from 1 species